rnacentral:piRNA from 1 species
UACCAGCUUUGUCAGCAUUUGAAGGAAU